GCUCUCGUAGCUCAGUUGGUUAGAGCACCCGUUUAGUAAGCGGGAGUCUGAGUUCGACUCUCAACGAGAGCA
rnacentral:tRNA from 1 species